rnacentral:rRNA from 1 species
UACGUAGGGGGCAAGCGUUGUCCGGAUUUAUUGGGCGUAAAGAGCGUGUAGGCGGCUAGGCAGGUCCGUUGUGAAAACUCGAGGCUCAACCUCGAGACGUCGAUGGAAACCAUCUAGCUAGAGUCCGGAAGAGGAGAGUGGAAUUCCUGGUGUAGCGGUGAAAUGCGCAGAUAUCAGGAAGAACACCCGUGGCGAAGGCGGCUCUCUGGUACGUGACUGACGCUGAGACGCGAAAGCGUGGGGGAGCGAACAGG